UACAGAGGCCUCGAGCGUUAGGCGGAAUCACUGGGCUUAAAGCGUGUGUAGGCGGAUCGUUAAGUACCUUGUGAAAUCCCACGGCUUAACCGUGGAACUGCUUGGUAUACUGGCGGUCUUGAGCAACCUAGGGGCGAGCGGAACAAAUGGUGGAGCGGUGAAAUGCGUAGAUAUCAUUUGGAACGCCAAUGGUGAAAACAGCUCGCUGGGGGUUCGCUGACGCUGAGACACGAAAGCCAGGGGAGCAAACGGG
rnacentral:rRNA from 1 species